AAAAUGAAAAAAAACCAUAUUUAAAAAUAAACAAAAUGCCAAAAACACUAAAUGCUCAAAUGAGAUUUCUGCCGAUGGAAAGACAUAUCCCCCAUUGUUCUGUGAACAUACUUGGACUAAAUCUGUUCCAAUUUGUCAUAGAAUUCAUCAAAUUAAGCCUUCUAUGUCUAUUGGACGCAACUAUAGACUAGAACUUCAAAAAACGUUUACGUUCAAUUAAUCAAUUACGUGAAAAUAAGUUAAGCUUAAAAAUAUUAGAUGAACAGUAUCAUUUAAUGAAAACUCCCAUCGUGGUUAAAACCAAGAAAUAUAAAAAAGAAGAUAAAUCCGUCGGGAAAACUAAAAUCAACACUUCUCCCAGAGUUGUGGAUUUAAGGGAUUUAUUAUCUGGAAAAUAUUAUAAUGAUAAAGCAGAGAUGAGAGAAAAAACAAAAUGCAGAAAAGAAGGCUAGAAAAGAAAAAUCUUCAGAAAAACCAAUGUUACCUCCAAAUUACAGUUCAUUUAUACAAACUUGUACUGCAUUAAAUCCUGAUGAUCAAUUAAAAAUACUAAAAGAAAAAAUGGAAUAAAAAAAAGAAAAACAAGAUUAU